CACGGGGGGAGCAAGCGUUGUUCGGAAUCACUGGGCGUAAAGGGCGUGUAGGCGGUCGGGUAAGUCUGACGUGAAAUCUUCAAGCUCAACUUGGAAACUGCGUCCGAUACUAUUCGGCUAGAGGAAUGGAGGGGAGACUGGAAUACUUGGUGUAGCAGUGAAAUGCGUAGAUAUCAAGUGGAACACCAGUGGCGAAGGCGAGUCUCUGGACAUUUCCUGACGCUGAGGCACGAAAGCCAGGGGAGCAAACGGG
rnacentral:rRNA from 1 species